UCCCAGAAUCCUUUCGCCCGAGACUUCAUUUCCCAGAAAGCUUCUGGAGUCCCCACCCCGGAACUGUGCUCUUCUUUUUUUUAAAGCGGAAAGUGGGACAAAAGCGUCAGUAAAGGCGGUUUCUGAAGGGGUAGAAUGGCAUUGUUCCAUCCAGUGCCUGUGUGAGUCCUAUUUUUCUUGGCAACUCCAUCACGUGCAAACCGUGGAGUGUGUUGACAUCCUGGGACUGCUGUUGCUGGUGGCAGUUUCUGUGGGUCACGAAUUUGGG